GGGCUGGUAGCUCAAUUGGUUAGAGCACCACCAUAUAUAGGCAGAGGCCCUGGGUUCAAUCCCUGACUGGUCCA
rnacentral:tRNA from 1 species